AAGUAUGGUGCCUGACAAAAAGGUCAGUUUUGAUAGAACUGCUCAUGUAGUAUUACUACCCAUACU
rnacentral:tRNA from 1 species